GGCCAUUUUCACAACUGUAGUAUGUCUAUCACCCUCCCUAUUUAAGAAACCAUUUUCUCUGAAAGAGAUCUUAGCCAUAACUGCUCAAACUGGGGAUCCAUGCUCACAGUUAUGAAUUAAAACCCCAUCACCCUAUUUCAUCAUUGAAGAGAGGCUGUUUCCAGUGGACUUAUGACGAUGCGCUGUCAUACCUGGGAGCAGGAGGAGAAAGGCACACGCGGAGACAAUGACAAAGG
rnacentral:lncRNA from 1 species